rnacentral:rRNA from 1 species
AUUGAACGCUGGCGGCAGGCCUAACACAUGCAAGUCGAGCGAGAGGCGGACGGGUGAGUAAUGUAUGGGGAACUGCCCGAUGGAGGGGGAUAACUACUGGAAACGGUGGCUAAUACCGAAUACUAUCGGAUGAACCCAUAUGGGAUUAGCUAGUAGGUGGGGUAAAGGCUCACCUAGGCGACGAUCUCUAGCUGGUCUGAGAGGAUGAUCAGCAACACUGGGACUGAGACACGCCCCAGACUCCUACGGGAGGCAGCGGUGGGAAAUAUUGCACAAUGUGCGCAAGCCUGAGGCAGCCAUGCCGCGUGUAUGAAGAAGGCCUUAGGGUUGUAAAGUACUUUCAGCGGGGAGGCGUUACCCGCAGAAGAAGCACCGGCUAACUCCGUGCCAGCAGCCGCGGUAAUUC